UACGGAGGGUGCAAGCGUUGUUCGGAAUCACUGGGCGUAAAGGGCGUGUAGGCGGCCUGUUAAGUCUGAUGUGAAAUCCCCUCGCUCAACGAGGGAACUGCGUCGGAAACUGGCAGGCUCGAGUACCGGAGAGGAAGGUGGAAUUCCCGGUGUAGUGGUGAAAUGCGUAGAUAUCGGGAGGAACACCAGUGGCGAAGGCGACUUCCUGGCCUGUUCUUGACGCUGAGGCGCGAAAGCUAGGGGAGCAAACGGG
rnacentral:rRNA from 1 species